rnacentral:rRNA from 1 species
UACGUAGGAUGCUAGCGUUGUCCGGAUUUACUGGGCGUAAAGCGCGCGCAGGCGGCACUGUAAGUAAGGUGUGAAAUAUCCCUGCUCAACGGGGAGGGUGCAUUUUAGACUGCAGAGCUAGAGGACGGUAGAGGGGGGUGGAAUUGCUGGUGUAGCGGUGAAAUGCGUAGAGAUCAGCAGGAACACCCGUGGCGAAGGCGGCCCCCUGGGCCGAACCUGACGCUGAGGCGCGAAGGCUAGGGGAGCGAACGGGG